UACGGAGGGGGCAAGCGUUAUUCGGAAUUAUUGGGCGUAAAGGGCGCGUAGGCGGCUAGAUGUGUCACAGGUGAAAUCCCUCGGCUCAACUGAGGAACUGCCUUUGAAACUGUCUGGCUUGAGGCCGGGAGAGGGUAGCGGAAUUCCCAGUGUAGCGGUGAAAUGCGUAGAUAUUGGGAGGAACACCAGUGGCGAAGGCGGCUACCUGGACCGGUUCUGACGCUGAGGCGCGAAAGCGUGGGUAGCAAACAGG
rnacentral:rRNA from 1 species